GCUGAGACUACUCUGUGGGCUACUUUGAAGUCAUGAAGCCUUUUUUGGCACCAUUGAAAAAUGCUGGAAUUUUCGUGGCUCUUGCCGUGACAAAUGCCUGAAGAAUGAAAAGGUCUAUAUUUUCUGCGAGAGUGGUAAACUGUGCUGUUUGAAGCCCAAGGACCAGCCACGUUUACACUAUCUUACAAUGAAUUAGUGCUUUAAAGUCUGAGGUCGCAAAAAUGAAGAUGAACUUGCCCUGAGUCUGAUGUUAGUAGAUUCCUGAGCUUUAUUAAAAUAUCUUUGGC